AGGACUAACGCUGGCGGCGUGCCUAACACAUGCAAGUCGAACGGGGGUAGCAAUACCCCAGUGGCAGACGGGUGAGUAACACGUGGUCAACCUACCUCUGUGUGGGGGAUAACUAGCCGAAAGGUUAGCUAAUACCGCAUACGAUCGUUUUGAGGCAUCUCGAGACGAUGAAAGGAGCAAUCCGCACGGAGAGGGGACUGCGUCCCAUUAGUUAGUUGGUGGGGUAACGGCCUACCAAGACUCCGAUGGGUAGCUGGCUUGAGAGAGCGACCAGCCACACUGGAACUGAGACACGGUCCAGACUCCUACGGGAGGCAGCAGUGAGGAAUUUUUCCGCAAUGGGCGAAAGCCUGACGGAGCGACGCCGCGUGUGGGAUGAAGGCCUUCGGGUCGUAAACCACUGUCGAAGGGGACGAUAUUGACGGUACCCUUGGAGGAAGCCCCGGCUAACUACGCGCCAGCAGCCGC
rnacentral:rRNA from 1 species